AUCAUUUCCACUUGAAGUCAGCUUCUUUGCCCCAGCUGUCCUCAGAUGUCCUACUGUUAAAACUUUGGUUAAAGUCUUUCCUGAAGAUCUGGAUAAGGGUGUGGCCAGCUCUUCAUUAGGGUUGCCUAACCUAGACUUGAGAGGCAGAUGGCCAGCUCAAGACCUGGGUUACGUAGUGAGACCCUUUCGAAAUCAGCCUCUCCGGGUGUCGUCUCUGAAGCUCGAGCAGCGGCUGUAGCUUUCACUACACGGUCCACCAUGUCUGUGAAUGCUUCAUGUUACGGUUUGGUUCCCAGAAGAUGGUUCCUACCAGGCCCAGCAGCAGCAGCAAACACAGGGUAAACAUGUGACCAGAAAGAGGUGCAUUGAUGUUGGGAGAGUUCGGCAAGCAAAGAGAUGAAGUUGUAUUUCAACGUGCUUCACACGAUCCACACAUGAAAACUCAGAGAGAGACUCAACAUUCAGAGAGCUGGGGAGAGGGCUCAGCACGUCAGCAUGAGAACUGGUCUUCCAGAAAAACACCCCUGUCAGGUGGUUCGCAACCGCCUGUAGCUCUAACCCCGGAGGAGUCCAACACUUCUGGCCU